UACGUAGGGCGCAAGCGUUAUCCGGAAUUAUUGGGCGUAAAGAGCUCGUAGGCGGUCUGUCGCGUCGGCUGUGAAAACCCGGGGCUCAACCCCGGGCCUGCAGUCGAUACGGGCAGACUAGAGUGUGGUAGGGGAGACUGGAAUUCCUGGUGUAGCGGUGGAAUGCGCAGAUAUCAGGAGGAACACCGGUGGCGAAGGCGGGUCUCUGGGCCAUAACUGACGCUGAGGAGCGAAAGCGUGGGGAGCGAACAGG
rnacentral:rRNA from 1 species